rnacentral:RNase_P_RNA from 2 species
CAAGUAUGAAAGACGGUUGCGAGUCUAUAAGACUCGAGGAAAGUCCGAGCUCCAUAGGGCAGGAUGCCAGAUAACGUCUGGCGAGGGUAACCUUAGGGAAAGUGCCAUAGAAAAGGAAACCGCCACGUAAGUGGUAAGGGUGGAAAGGUGAGGUAAGAGCUCACCAGCAGUCUGGUAACAGGCUGGCU